rfam:Raoultella ornithinolytica strain S12, complete genome.
CGCUAUACUAGGCUGUGUUGUAGCCGGUCCAGUGCCUUCGGACCGGUUUUUUAUGUAU